AGAGCGAACGCUGGCGGCAGGCCUAACACAUGCAAGUCGAGCGCCCGUAGCAAUACGGGAGCGGCAGACGGGAUAGUAACACGUGGGAACGCGCCCUUCGGUUCGGAAUAACUCAGGGAAACUUGAGCUAAUACCGGAUACGCCCUUACGGGGAAAGAUUUAUUGCCGAAGGAACGGCCCGCGUCCGAUUAGCUAGUUGGUGAGGUAAUGGCUCACCAAGGCGACGAUCGGUAGCUGGUCUGAGAGGAUGACCAGCAUCACUGGGACUGAGACACGGCCCAGACUCCUACGGGAGGCAGCAGUGGGGAAUAUUGGACAAUGGGGGCAACCCUGAUCCAGCGACGCCGCGUGUGUGAAGAAGGCCUGCGGGUUGUAAAGCACUUUUAGUGGGAUGAAAAGCUCAGGGUUAACACCUCUGGGUCUUGACCUAACCACAGAAAAGCAACCGGCUAACUCUGUGCCAGCAGCCGC
rnacentral:rRNA from 1 species